AUCUAAAAACAUCAAUCUCUCACCUGUAUCUCUCUCACCGCCUCUCCUCUCUCUCUCCCAAAAAUCUCUCCCGUGUCUCUCUCGCACUCCCUCUCUUCCUCACCAAUCUCUCUCGCUGGAAUCUCUCUCUGCACUCUCUCUCACCGCCCUCUCCCCGCGUCUUUCUCUCCGCGUCUCUCCCAUGUCGCCUCGCCGCUCUGUUUUUCCGGCCGCCUCGCCACCGCUCGCCGCCGCUUCGUUCCCUUCAGCCCCUCCAGGCCACUGUCUCCCUCUUCCUCCGGUUCUAUUUCGGGACACCAGUUUUCGAAAGGCUAGUCGACUCCCUUCAUAGCAUCUGAUUCCUAUACUUCAGCAAGAUGCCUAGAACGAGACCGCCUAGACAACCAUUGACCAGUAGUGGACGGUGUUCCAUCCCUCCACCCAUGUUGGGCACGUUUGAGGUAGUGGAGUCAGAUAUUAUAAGUUAUGGUAUUGUAAUAAUUAGCGAGUUUAUUCGGAUUUAAGAUUUAUGGUAUUGUAAUAUUCAGGUGACUUAAAUCAUACUUAAACCUGGCAAGAUCCUAGUCAGGGGUUGUAUUAUUAUUAUUAUAUUCAGGUUGUGUUUCCUUUUCAUUAUUAUUAGUGACGUCAACUCUUACCCCGGGGUUGAGGCCGUCACAAUUUGUA